CACACACACACACACACACAUGUAUGCAUACAGUCACAUACAAAGUUGUCAGACUUGCUUUUUUAACCUUGACUCGGUGAAGGAGCUGUAAAAUCAUGUCGCUUUUUUAACCUACAAUUCUCCCUCAUCAUCUCUUAGUUUUAAAUUUUGUGCUAGAGGCGUAUCUACUCGUUUACAACCAGUUAGACCAAUAUCCUGCAAUAAUUCCAAGGUAUAUUUCUGCUACAAGGUACAUAUACCCAGAAAAACUUCAAUGCCCCAAUUCUUUAAUCUGAAAAGAGUAUUCAAAUAAUCCUUCAAACUCUGAAUUUCAUCUUUACUGUCUAAAUCAGGCUGCUGGUCGUGAUAGUUUACAUAGAUG
rnacentral:misc_RNA from 1 species